CAUCUUUAGAAACUAAUAUUGAUGAUAUAGAAAAGGUAAAUUGCUAUACUAAAGUCAAUGAAGAUACAAAAGGCAUAAUAAAUGAAGAUGGUGAAAAAGAUAAACUUUUGAGCAAAAUCCAAAAUGAAGAGAUCAUUAUUGAAGAUGAAGCAAAAGUUGAGCUGGUGAAGGAUGAAGAUGUUUUACUUGAUACCAUUGAGCCAAUUAAACAUGUUGAUUUUAUUGGCAUUGAAAGUAUUAUUUGUUCUAAAGUUCCUCUAACAACUUUUGUGAAAGAUCUGCAGGUUGAUAAUGAGCUAGUAUUGUUCUUUGAGAUUAUAUGUUUGCUUCUCUCACAAUAUUCGAGCAAGAUUCGAGGACGAAUCUUCUCAAAGAAAGGGGGAAUGAUGAGAACCCAUGUAGCACAAGGAAUCCUACUUCAACAAAGAAUCCUAAUUCCACUAAAGAUCCUAAUC
rnacentral:lncRNA from 1 species